CAUGGCCCUGCAGAGGCCCUCCUCAGCCUCUGGCCCACGCUCAGGCAACAGCUCCUGCCUCCCUCCCCUUUUUUAUUAUAGCCCAGUGACAAGCGGAAUGAUCUCCAAAAAACAGCAGCCUUGUGGCUUGCCCCAGCGUGGCUGCAGACACUCAGUAAACAGGAGGGGAGCCGGAGCCCCUGGGCCGGGUGUGGGAUGCGGGAGGGCGAGGAGGGCCAUGGAGUUACUCAGCAUUUGCUGUCUGAGAAGAUCUGCUGAGCUGAUGACCAAAUGCUGCUAUGACCGUAAAGAUCCAGGGGGCAUCCAGUUUCGGUGAGUGAAAUUCUGUUCUUAUUUCCUUUGGGGAUAAGCCUUGUCACCGCAGGACAAGCCACUGCACAAGGUGAAUCCCACUGAGUUUUUCUUCUGUGCCAUCUCUUUGCCAGGGAGGGAGCAGUCUGGGGUUACAAAUAGCAGAGUAACAUAGGAACAACAUGAAAUAAAUGUGGCUAUCAGGGAAAGCUUACAAGCAAAGGGCGCCGGGCUAUUAAAUAUUCACUGCAGUGCGAUGGUGGAAUCCCACUUUUUAGGGCUUUUUUAAAGUUGUCUGGACAAAAUCCUAGAAAACGUCUUUGGAGACAAACCUGCACUGGCAGGAAGACGAGCUAGACACUCUCACUGGACUUUUCCACCUCCAGCUCAGACAAUCUGAGCGCAGCUUCCCAGGAGGACAGCUGAAGCCGUACUGCCUGAAUCACAGCCGAUGGGUCAGAUCCAGGGCCCCUCAUCCUCUUGAUGGGCGUCUGCCAGCUCCACCAAAACCAGCGGGACCACUGCAUCAGGAACCCCUCCCUGGCUAGGAAGCUGUUGCACAACCUGGCCCUUCCAUUAGGAAGUGAGCCAUCCCAAUGAACAACUGACCAUGAAUAUCCUAGACGCAAUUUCUUACACGAUCAUUGCUAUUUUGUCACCGGCUCCUACGUUUUUGUGGCUGCUACUGCUCUGAAAAAAACGAAGGAAACAGAGCGAGCUCUUUCAUGUUUUGUUUUUCUUAGUAAUUUAUGAUUAAUGGAGUAAAUCUUGGAAUUCCUACUCAGUUUUCACUUUUUGUAACCCAUGGCUUCUGUUUAUUCAUGUUUUGUAACAGAACUAAAAAGUAUUUCCUUUUAGCCCAAGGCACCUAAUGAGGAUUAGGCCUGGAGCAGAAUAUUUUACAUUCUUGCGUUCCAGGAGUACCUUGAUGUAGAAUUAUCCAUUGUCAACCGUAGACUGAAUAUUCAAUUAUACUGCUUUUUUAAGGUAUUUUAGGGCCUAUCUGAUCAACUGAUACUGAAUGCAAUUAUUCUUCCCUCUGCUUUUAGUGGGUGUGGGUCUUCAUACAGCCAUGUUAGCUGAGGGUUGAUAUUUG
rnacentral:lncRNA from 1 species